GGGUGGAACUGGGUUCUCGGAAA
rnacentral:rRNA from 1 species